ensembl:lncRNA
UCCUAAUGAGGGCAAUGGAUUGCAGUCUGUCCGUGUUGCCAUGGCGAUGCAGUUUGCAGUCAAUGGAAGUGUGUGGCAGUCAGACUGAAGCAGCAGCAGGGCGCGAGACAGACAGAGACUAAUGCUGGAAACAAAUCAAACCGAGCGCUGAAAACUGCUGCGAUACUCAAAGCGCUACUCAUUCUGAUUAAGCAAGGAUGAAGCCAAAUAUACUGGUCUACAGAGGAAGAUUAAUCCACGUAGGUGAAUCUGUCUUCAUAAAGAGCAUGCUUGAGAACAAUCUUAAGAUAACUAAAAUUAAGAAGUUGGUGAAUCUGUUCAUUAGUGUUCACACACCUGUGUCCAUGAAGAGCAUAUCUUCAGAAGAAAUGAUCUGUCAAGGAUACAAAGAAAAAUCAAGGGAUUUUUCUCCUGAGCUACGAGAGAGCAACCUAUAAGCAAUGAAGGUGUCCUUUGUGUAAUUUCCAGCAAUAUGAAAUGCUGUGACACAUUAUAGAGCGUGAAGCUGAGCUGAAGAACUCUUUGUUGUAUUGGAUGGUGUUCACACUAAAUUAAACUGCUGUCGAUGCAGAACUCAAUGUUAAAUUUGGCUCAUCGCAGCUCAUCACAGAUAUAAUAGCCCUCUGUAUGCCAGUAUGUAACUCUUAAAUGCAUGCUUCAUUCAAAAAUGAAAAUUGUCAUCUAUUUACUCACCAUAAUGUUGGUCUUAACCUGUACGAUUUGCUUUCUUCUGUGGAACAUAAGAGAUGUUGGGCAUGAAUGUUUAAGCUGUUGAUUUGCACAAUACAGAAGUUAAUGAGAACUUUAAAGCUCCAAAAAUACAAAGUUCUCAAAUCUCACACCUGUAUGCAAUUCUAACUAAAUUAAAUCUGACAACGAAUCUGUAAUAUGGUUUCUUAUAAAUAACACAUAAAAAAAAAAAACAGCACAAAUAUUAAGCUCUCUCUGAAGUAUUGCCCGCAUCUCAGAACACAAGCAAAUAUUAAGCUCUCUCUUAAGUAUUGUGUUUGAAUGGACAAAUUCACACAAAAAUUAUGUCAAAAUCUUGGUAAGUAUCCUAUAGCAGACAUAGCCGGCUGAACGUACUGUAGCAGUGCAUUCUCUUGAAGAGACAGUCUUAAUAUUAAUCGAACAGCAACAACAAAUAAAUCAUUUAUUGCUUUUGAUUGGAUAGCUUUU